rnacentral:lncRNA from 10 species
GAGCCAUAUGCUUCAUCUCAGAGCCAAGGCUGUGUCAUCACUGUCAAAUGCUCCUUCAGGCCACUAAAUCACCACAGUAAGAUCAUAGCUUCAGGACCUAAGUAGCUCCUGGGGAUGGGAAAGAGAUGACUGACUGAGGUGGUUGAUGGGAUUCUUACAGCAGGAGGAAGCAUUCCCAUGUGAAAGAUGAGCUCCCUAUAAAAGCAACGCUCUUAUCAUCGAGAACAGAAAGUUGAAGCCAAGAGAGAGCUCCACAAGCUGACCUUGUUAAACUAACCCUUAUCUUCUUAGUCGCUUCUUUACCCAAUUAACUACCCUAGCCGAAGCCCCUUUGCCUUAUUACAUUUUGCAACAGUGUUCGUUGUCCAAUUCAGUAUACAAGUGAGUGACUCUGGAUGCUUUUUGGGGUCUUCGUUUCCUUAUGAGGGCUUCUGUGCCAUGUAAAACUUGUAUUAAAUAAAUUUGUAUGCUUUUCUCCUGUUAAUCUGUCUAUAUCGAUUGAACUUUAGGGUCCAGUCAGAACCCAAAGAGGAUGGAGGUGGAGUUUUGGCUCCUCUACAGCUAUCUGAAUAAUCAAAAUUCAAGAUAUUCCAUGUUCUUUCUGAGUUUCUUUGAAAUUAAAAAUGCAGACAACCACUCAACUAAUACGUCAGCGAGAUACGUUUUCUGUCCUUAUUGCCUUACUGAUGAAAUUGCCUUUAUUCAUAAAAAAUAAAUGUGGGAGUCUUGUUUAUUUAUUUCUAAUGACAUUAACUUGACAUUAACCUUGGUGCUCUUGGGAACCAUAAAUGGGCCCUGUACUACUUGUUACAGAGUAUAAAUUCCCAGAACUACAAGUACAUCAUAUUCCUCAAGUUACUGAAGAAUUUCAUGAUCCAUGUGUCAGGCCUCUGAGCCCAAGCUAAGUC